AUAUGAAUCACCAGGGGAGCUUGUUAAAAUGCAGAUCCUGAUUCAUGAAGUUUGAGGUGGGACCACAGAUGCUGCAAUUCUAACAAACUUCUAGAUAAUGCUGAU
rnacentral:miRNA from 1 species